AUUGAACGCUGGCGGCAGGCUUAACACAUGCAAGUCGAGCGGAGAGAGGUAGCUUGCUACCGAUCUUAGCGGCGGACGGGUGAGUAAUGCUUAGGAAUCUGCCAUUUAGUGGGGGACAACAUUCCGAAAGGAAUGCUAAUACCGCAUACGUCCUACGGGAGAAAGCAGGGGAUCUUCGGACCUUGCGCUAAAUGAUGAGCCUAAGUCGGAUUAGCUAGUUGGUGGGGUAAAGGCCUACCAAGGCGACGAUCUGUAGCGGGUCUGAGAGGAUGAUCCGCCACACUGGGACUGAGACACGGCCCAGACUCCUACGGGAGGCAGCAGUGGGGAAUAUUGAACAAUGGGCGGAAGCCUGAUCCAGCCAUGCCGCGUGUGUGAAGAAGGCCUUAUGGUUGUAAAGCACUUUAAGCGAGGAGGAGGCUACCAGUAUUAAUACUACUGGAUAGUGGACGUUACUCGCAGAAUAAGCACCGGCUAACUCUGUGCCAGCCGCCGCAGUAACAC
rnacentral:rRNA from 1 species